AAACGCUGCGCAUCAGAUGUAUCAGCCAUGCCGCGUGAGUGAAGAAGGCCUUCGGGUUGUAAAGCUCUUUCGGCCGGGAAGAAAUCGCGUGAGUUAAUACCUUGCGUGGAUGACGGUACCGGAAUAAGAAGCACCGGCUAACUACGUGCCAGCAGCCGCGGUAAUACGUAGGGUGCGAGCGUUAAUCGGAAUUACUGGGCGUAAAGCGUGCGCAGGCGGUUUUUUAAGACAGGCGUGAAAUCCCCGGGCUUAACCUGGGAACUGCGCUUGUGACUGGAAGACUAGAGUAUGGCAGAGGGGGGUGGAAUUCCACGUGUAGCAGUGAAAUGCGUAGAGAUGUGGAGGAACACCGAUGGCGAAGGCAGCCCCCUGGGCCAAUACUGACGCUCAUGCACGAAAGCGUGGGGAGCAAACAGGAUUAGAUACCCUGGUAGUCCACGCCCUAAACGAUGUCAACUAGGUGUUGGGUGGGUAAAACCAUUUAGUACCGUAGCUAACGCGUGAAGUUGACCGCCUGGGGAGUACGGCCGCAAGGUUAAAACUCAAAGGAAUUGACGGUCAAAUCGUAAAAC
rnacentral:rRNA from 1 species